UACGUAUGGUGCAAGCGUUAUCCGGAUUUACUGGGUGUAAAGGGAGCGCAGGCGGCACGGCAAGCCUGAUGUGAAAGCCCGCGGCCCAACCGCGGGACUGCAUUGGGAACUACCGGGCUGGAGUGCCGGAGAGGUAGGCGGAAUUCCUAGUGUAGCGGUGAAAUGCUUAGAGAUCAUACAGAACACCGAUUGCGAAGGCAGCUUACCAAACUAUAUCUGACGUUGAGGCACGAAAGCGUGGGUAGCAAACAGG
rnacentral:rRNA from 1 species